rnacentral:piRNA from 1 species
UGAUACUAACUUCUUUCUUGGGCAU